ACGCUGUCUUUGGCUUAAAUAUCUACACAAACUUUGGCAGUCCCCACCAACAAAUAAAAAUAGAUUAAAAAUAAGUCAACACAAAAAACUUUCAGUUAAACAUGCAAAGACCACUAAAGAGCACAGCGAUAUUUUAAACUAAUUUAAAACUAUGAUUAUCUACUAAGAAAUUUAAUGCAGUUCUGUCACUGCAACAUGCUAUUAAAUAAGCAUUUAUGGGAACUACCAGUUGUCAAAUGACAAUUGUAAGCCAGAUUUUUUUAUCACUUUACAAAAGACACAAGUUCAUAAUUUGAUUCUGACACUUGUUCCGAGUGCUUUGCUCGAGGAAAGUUUGUUAUUAUUGUUUAAGAAAAGAAAGUUGGGUACUUGCAACAAAAAUGUGCACACUCAAACUAUCUGAUUGCCAUGUUUUUUUCUUCCUGCUUCCUCAUGGUGAAAAGGGAUGGUUUGCCAAUGUUGUAAUUUUUCACUUAGUUCAGAAAAGGCACCCAGUGCUGCUCUCAGUAGACCUGUCUGGGUAUACAUGGGGAGAAAAUUCUGCCCUUGGGGCACAGAAAUCACCCACUUCAGUAUCUGUUGCAGUCCCACAAGUGUUCUGAGCCCAGGCAUUAUGACACCAAGGCAUCUGCCCUGGAAACAAGAGCCUUUGUAUUCAGACCAAAUUAGAAUCCAUUCAUUUUUAACAGCAUUUGCUGUUUGAAAUGGUAAUUCUGAAAGUAAGUAAAAGUCCCAGCUAUUUCAAAGAAUGAAUUUGGGUGCAAUAUUAUUUUGCGCUUGGGAACCAUAAUUAAAUUGAUUGCUCCCUUCCCUCUGGAACAAGUAUUGCAUUCCGAAGAGUCUAUGGUCUCCAUUUGCUUCAACAGUAAUGCGUUUUCCUACUAUUUUCUAAACAGUAUGUAGUGUUUUGAUGUAGAUGCCUUUUUUUCAUUGGACUUACUCAGCUUUCUACCAAAAUAUUCUGGGUUGUUUUUUUGUUUUUUUUGUUUGUUUGUUUGUUUUUUGAGAGCGAUGCAGAAGCAGGAUGGAUUUGCCAAGUCCUCGGAGACCACAAAGUCUGUAGACCAGAAGGACAAGGAGAAGAGAAGAGAAGAGAAGAGAAGAGAAGAGAAGAGAAGAGAAGAGAAGAGAAGAGAAGAGAAGAGAAGAGAAGAGAAGAGAAGAGAAGAGAUUACAUAAUCGCAGAGAUUUGGGUCUCUUUUGCUGUAGUUUAAUGUUGGUUAAACUCUACUGACAGGAGUGAAACUAUUUUUCAUUUACUUGAGAAUACGUGACACCAGAGAUUCAUUUUUACAUACUAUGUCUUUAUGUUUCCUAAUAUAAGGUAAUGAUGCUAUGCACCUGUUAAAAAAAAAAUGAUUUCUCAUGCUGAUGAUUUGUAUUAUCUUAAAGUAUCACCUGUGAGGGUGGGGGGUGGGACAGACAUUGCUUUAUUUUAAUAAAUUUAGAAAUUCAAUAUCUGUUAAAAUGUUCCUGUAAUUUUUGUUACACAAGUAACCACAUGAUAUCAUGAAAAUCAAGCUUCUGUUUGCCAGGAUGCAGAGAGAUUUGUAGCUUACCAAGAAUAAUUGAAAACUGGGGGCAGUGACCAGCCCUUUCCCUUCUCCAGUCACACUUUCCUGAGAUCAGAUUCAUUCUGUUCCACUGACAAUGGAAAUAGAAAAUAUCAGCGCACCUCAGCUUAUUAGAUGAUAAAGCCAAAUUCAAAUUUAAAAUCUUAACCGCCGCCAAAGAAAAAGCAGAAGUUGAGAUGUAGACAAUGGACUCUAAUCUCAUUAUCACACCACCUCUCUAAUGUGUGCUCUGGGAGUCAUCUGUGGAACUUUAAAACUUGAUCAUGCUCCUAUUUUGUAAGAACGGGACAAUACAGGACUGUUACGAUUUCUUUUUAUAUACAAAAUAAAAUACCUUUUCAAAGUAGCAAACAACAGAUUUUCUGUAGGAAUCAAGAAUAAUGAAGUAAUAAUAGCUGGUUUGGCAUGCUACUCAUUGGUUCAGUAUGAGCAUGACUUGCUUCAUUGUGUAGUUUAUAUGUAGAUUCAUUAUGAGCAAAAGCACAAUUUACUGGAGCAUUAUUUCCUGAAAGGCUUGUUUUAUGCAUCAUCUAUUUUUCUGGCACCUUACAACCAUGUUUAACCUGUAUAAAAUUAACUGUAUUUAUAGGUGAUAUCUAAACGAGCGGAACAUGACUUUUUUCUCCAGCCUAUUUCCUAAAUCAGAUACAGUAGUUUACCUCAGAACAGAACAAACCUGGUGAAUUUUAGUUCUGGUGAGACCUCUGCAGCCAGCUCCAUUUCUACCUUAUAAUAACAGGAGGCAGAUUGCCCACGGAAAUUUACUUUGUUCUUUAAAAUCACAUACUGUAGAUCAGCUGGAAUAUGACUAAUCUCCCAGAAGGGAUUUUGGGCCAGAACAUAUUCCCUAAAAAAAGAACAAAAAACUUUUGCUUAUUAAAAAAAGAAAAAGAGAAAGAUGGAUGGAUGGAUGGAUGGAAGGAAGGAAGGAAGGAAGGAAGGAAGGAAGGAAGGAAGGAAGGAAGGAAGGAAGGAAAGAAAAGAAAGAAGGAAAGAGAGAAAGAGAGAAAGAGAGAAAGAGAGAAAGAGAGAAAGAGAGAAAGAGAGAAAGAAAGAAAGAAAGAAAGAAAGAAAGAAAGAAAGAAAGAAAGAAAGAAAGAAAGAAAGAAAGAAAGAAAGAAAGAAAGAAAGAAAGAAAGAAAGGGGGGAAAAAAAAGGUGUUUUACCUCCACUAGAAAUACUUUUUCCAUGUAAUGUAGAAGAUGAAUUCCAAUAAUUAAACAAGUAAUGGUUUUGUAAAGUGGUAAGGGGAGAAGAGUUUUCUUUUGUGUAGAUCGGAAUACCACCUGCUGCCAAAGUACAGGUCUAUUUGUCUCACAGAAUUCCACAUUCCAAUGGUAGCUAGCCAUCCCACAUCUCAGUGACUGCUCUAUGGUUUACUGAUCAAAUUACUGUCCUUUCUAGCAUCUGCAGUAUUUUUGUAUCAAAGGAACUCACGUACUAUUCACCUUCAGUAACCUUUGUAAUAGUUGACAUUUCUUUAUAUCGGAAACUUCUUCAGGUCAAAUACUGAAUAAAAGCUCUUUUACCUACAUACAAUAAUGACUACCUUCAAUGCACACGCAGUCCAAGGACCCAGUUCCUCAAAGUUCACCUUGAUUUUCAAUUCAAUUCAGACUCCACAUCUUAUUCAGCGGAUAUUCAUAUAUAUUUAGAAAGUGAAAUAUGUGGGAAGCAGAAAGUUUUCACUUAGAGGUCAUUAUAGUUCUCUAUGAUUGUAAUAUGAAAUGAUCUUCCAGAAAAAUCCCAAACCUAUGCUUUUUUCCUAAAUCUACUUUUCCCCAAAGAAUAUUCAUAUGGCAUGCUGGUCUCUCUUUCCAUCUUUCUGUCUUUCUAUCUUUCUCUCUCUCUCUCUCUCUCUCUCUCCCCCCCUCCCCUCUCCUCUCCUCUCCUCCCCUCUCCUCUCCUCCCCUCC
ensembl:lncRNA